rnacentral:misc_RNA from 1 species
AUUUUUUUUUAUUUUAUUUUUUUUGUUAUGUGAAAAAUCCCCCCAUCUUCUAUUAAACUGAAAAAAGAAUGAAAUCUUUUGCAUCCAACCCCAAGGCUGUCUUUGGGGCCAAAAAACCUACCCUGUCAUCACUACAAACGUUGCCGGUACCGCUGCCAUGAUGGUGGUGGUCGUGGUGAUGGUUGUGGUGGUCGUCGGUGUUAGCUGGAGGGUGGUAGUACAUACGAGCAGUCUGCGGGCAAUGAGAGUGAAAUCUUGCAGCGAUUCUCACACCAACAUCCAACAUCUCCAUAUACUUCCCCAUCUCUGUUUCUUUAUAUCUCCCCUUCUCUCCAGGAUACAAACUUUCUUGGAAACUGUUUGUUUUCCAAGAAACAGAAAGA